rnacentral:rRNA from 1 species
UCCCCUAGUAACUGCGAGUGAAGCGGGAAAAGCUCAAAUUUAAAAUCUGGCGGUCUUUGGCCGUCCGAGUUGUAAUCUAGAGAAGCAUUACCCGCGCUGGACCGUGUACAAGUCUCCUGGAAUGGAGCGUCAUAGAGGGUGAGAAUCCCGUCUCUGACACGGACUACCAGGGCUUUGUGGUAUGCUCUCAAAGAGUCGAGUUGUUUGGGAAUGCAGCUCAAAAUGGGUGGUAAAUUCCAUCUAAAGCUAAAUAUUGGCGAGAGACCGAUAGCGAACAAGUACCGUGAGGGAAAGAUGAAAAGAACUUUGGAAAGAGAGUUAAACAGUACGUGAAAUUGCUGAAAGGGAAACGCUUGAAGUCAGUCGCGUUGGCCGGGGAUCAGCCUCGCAUUUGCGUGGUGUACUUUCCGGUUGACGGGUCAGCAUCAAUUUUGACCGCUGGAAAAAGGCUUAGGGAAUGUGGCAGCUCCGGCUGUGUUAUAGCCCUUUGUCACAUACAGCGGCUGGGAUUGAGGAACUCAGCACGCCGCAAGGCCGGGUUUCGACCACGUUCGUGCUUAGGAUGCUGGCAUAAUGGCUUUAAGCGACCCGUCUUGAAACACGGACCAAGGAGUCUAACAUGCCUGCGAGUGUUUGGGUGGAAAACCCGAGUGCGUAAUGAAAGUGAAAGUUGAGAUCCCUGUCGUGGGGAGCAUCGACGCCCAGACCAGA